CCAUGUUGGCCAGGCUGGUGUUGAACUCCUGACCUCAAGUGAUCUGUCCACCUCAGCCUCCCAAAGUGCCAGGAUUACAGGCAUGAGCCAUAAUCAUAGCCACCAAUGCUUCUUAAACUAUUGUGUAUUUUACAAUCACCCCAGGGAACUCAUUUAAUAUGUAGGUUCCUAAGCCCUUCCACAGAUGCUGAGUGCCCUGACUGGGAGGCUUUGCUUUCCACAGGACUCUGAUGCUGGGGCCAAGAAAUCAGGGGAUGGGGAGAAGGAACAGGCUCUCCAUAAGCCCAGCCAUGCCCUUGGGAAGGGGGAAGAAGACAAACCUACCGACUGGAUGAAGUAGGGGUCCUGCAGAAGGGCACCAGCCUGAAGUGGCCCAAAGAGACACUGGAUCAGCUGAAGAGAAAGCAAAGGGUUAAUUCAUACUUUGGACACCCCUCCCACCCCUGCACUUCCAGGUGAGGGAGGGAGGUUUAACCAGGGGCGCCGGGGGACUGGGCGGUGGAAUGGGGUGUCGAGGAAUGGGAGGGAGAAGUGAGGCAUCAGGGAGAGGAACACCUUGCCAAUGACCCGGUGCUGCUG